AAUAAGAUCAUUUUCAGUUUUUUAUACAAUAUUUUGACUCUUCGUUUUAUUUAAAUUUUUUGUGAUUAAUAUUUUUAUUCUUACAAAUGAUAAAACAUGAAUAAUACUUUAUGUGUGACUAUUUUUUUAAUAUUUUGUACAAAUUUUUUAGAUAAGACGAAUGAUCAAAAGUUAAACACGGAAAAACGAAAAAUGAAGUUACG
rnacentral:pre_miRNA from 1 species